AGAGUUUGAUCCUGGCUCAGAAUCAACGCUGGCGGCGCGCUUAACACAUGCAAGUCGCACGAGAAAGGGGGCAACCCUGAGUAAAGUGGCGCACGGGUGAGUAACACGUGGGUAUCUACCUUUUUGUGGGGACUAACUUGGGGAAACCCGAGCUAAUACCGCAUAAGCUCGAGAGAGGAAAGCCGAAAGGCGCAGAAAGAGGAGCCCGCGGCUGAUUAGCUAGUUGGUGAGGUAAUGGCUCACCAAGGCAAAGAUCGGUAGCCGGCCUGAGAGGGCACACGGCCACACUGGCACUGAAACACGGGCCAGACUCCUACGGGAGGCAGCAGUGGGGAAUCUUGCACAAUGGAGGAAACUCUGAUGCAGCGACGCCGCGUGAACGAUGAAGCCCUUCGGGGUGUAAAGUUCUUUCGUCAGGAACGAUAAUGACGGUACCUGGAGAAGAAGCUGCGGCUAACUACGUGCCAGCAGCCGCGAUAAUACGUAGGCAGCAAGCGUUGUUCGGAAUUAUUGGGCGUAAAGAGUAUGUAGGUGGUGUCGUAAGUUUGGUGUGAAAUCUCCCGGCUUAACCGGGAGGGUGCGCCGAAG
rnacentral:rRNA from 1 species